GAUGACGGCAUCAGAUUUGAAGUAAAGAUUUAUCGGUAAUGGAUGGGGAUGCGUCUGAUUAGCUUGUUGGCGGGGUAACGGCCCACCAAGGCUACGAUCAGUAGGGGUUCUGAGAGGAAGGUCCCCCACAUUGGAACUGAGACACGGUCCAAACUCCUACGGGAGGCAGCAGUGAGGAAUAUUGGUCAAUGGACGGAAGUCUGAACCAGCCAAGUAGCGUGCAGGAUGACGGCCCUAUGGGUUGUAAACUGCUUUUGUAUGGGGAUAAAGUUAGGGACGUGUCCCUAUUUGCAGGUACCAUACGAAUAAGGACCGGCUAAUUCCGUGCCAGCAGCCGCGGUAAUACGGAAGGUCCAGGCGUUAUCCGGAUUUAUUGGGUUUAAAGGGAGCGUAGGCUGGAGAUUAAGUGUGUUGUGAAAUGUAGACGCUCAACGUCUGAAUUGCAGCGCAUACUGGUUUCCUUGAGUACGCACAACGUUGGCGGAAUUCGUCGUGUAGCGGUGAAAUGCUUAGAUAUGACGAAGAACUCCGAUUGCGAAGGCAGCUGACGGGAGCGCAACUGACGCUUAAGCUCGAAGGUGCGGGUAUCAAACAGGAUUAGAUACCCUGGUAGUCCGCACAGUAAACGAUGGAUGCCCGCUGUUGGUACCUGGUAUCAGCGGCUAAGCGAAAGCAUUAAGC
rnacentral:rRNA from 1 species